UGGGGAAUCUUAGACAAUGGGGGCAACCCUGAUCUAGCCAUGCCGCGUGAGUGAUGAAGGCCUUAGGGUUGUAAAGCUCUUUCAGCUGGGAAGAUAAUGACGGUACCAGCAGAAGAAGCCCCGGCUAACUCCGUGCCAGCAGCCGCGGUAAUACGGAGGGGGCUAGCGUUGUUCGGAAUUACUGGGCGUAAAGCGCACGUAGGCGGACUGGAAAGUCAGAGGUGAAAUCCCAGGGCUCAACCUUGGAACUGCCUUUGAAACUAUCAGUCUGGAGUUCGAGAGAGGUGAGUGGAAUUCCGAGUGUAGAGGUGAAAUUCGUAGAUAUUCGGAGGAACACCAGUGGCGAAGGCGGCUCCACUGG
rnacentral:rRNA from 1 species